rfam:Medicago truncatula strain A17 chromosome 7, whole genome shotgun sequence.
AAACCAUGAUGGAGGCAAAGUCUAAGCAUUUCUUUGAAACGCUCCCACGCAUUGUAAAGAGAUUCACCAUCUUUUUGAGUGAAUUGUGUGAUUUGACUCCUUAAUUG